AGCGUAGACGGUGUGGCAAGUCUGAUGUAGAAAGGCAUGGGCUCAACCUGUGGACUGCAUUGGAAACUGUCAUACUUGAGUGCCGGAGGGGUAAGCGGAAUUCCUAGUGUAGCGGUGAAAUGCGUAGAUAUUAGGAGGAACACCAGUGGCGAAGGCGGCUUACUGGACGGUAACUGACGUUGAGGCUCGAAAGCGUGGGAGCAAAACA
rnacentral:rRNA from 1 species